rnacentral:misc_RNA from 1 species
UAAAAGCUUGCUAGGAAUUGAAUUCUCUUGUCCAAGGACAAUUCCAGAAGACAGAGGUUCAAUCGAAGAGGUUAAAACAUGAGAAGGUACAGUUUGAAAUCCAGUUGUACAUUGUUGCAAGAUCUCUUCCCACGAGGCAGAACUGAGUGUCUUCUGAGAACCCAUCACACCAGUAUCACCAUCGUUACUCCCAAGUCCAGCUUUCUGAACUUGUGUUACAUAAUCCACAGAAGGACCUGAUGACCAAGCGUCAAG